rnacentral:rRNA from 1 species
CCCUUAGAUGUUCGGAGCUGCACGCGCGCUACACUGAAGGAAGCAGCGUGUUAGAGUACCUGGCUUGGAAGAGCUGGGUAAUCCGGUGAAUGUCCUUCGUGAUUGGGAUAGGCACUUGUAAUUAUUUGCCUUGAACGAGGAAUACCUAGUAAGCGCGAGUCAUCAGCUCGUGCUGAUUACGUCCCUGCCCUUUGUACACACCGCCCGUCGCUCCUACCGAUUGAGUGCUCAGGUGAAUAAUUCGGACUGCAGCAAUGUUUGGAUCCCGAACGUUGCAGCGGAAAGUUUAGUGAACCUUAUCACUUAGAGGAAGGAGAAGUCGUAACA